GAUGAACGCUGGCGGCGUGCUUAACACAUGCAAGUCGAACGGAAAGGCUCCUGCUUGCAGGGGCACUCGAGUGGCGAACGGGUGAGUAACACGUGGGUGAUCUGCCCUGCACUUCGGGAUAAGCCUGGGAAACUGGGUCUAAUACCGGAUAGGACCAUCGUUUAGUGUCGGUGGUGGAAAGUUUUUUCGGUGUGGGAUGAGCUCGCGGCCUAUCAGCUUGUUGGUGGGGUAAUGGCCUACCAAGGCGUCGACGGGUAGCCGGCCUGAGAGGGUGUACGGCCACAUUGGGACUGAGAUACGGCCCAGACUCCUACGGGAGGCAGCAGGGGGGAAUAUUGCACAAUGGGCGCAAGCCUGAUGCAGCGACGCCGCGUGGGGGAUGACGGCCUUCGGGUUGUAAACUCCUUUCGCCAGGGACGAAGCGAAAGUGACGGUACCUGGAUAAGAAGCACCGGCUAACUACGUG
rnacentral:rRNA from 1 species